UACGUAGGGGGCUAGCGUUGUCCGGAAUCAUUGGGCGUAAAGCGCGUGUAGGCGGUCCGGUAAGUCCGCUGUGAAAGUCGGGGGCUCAACCCUCGAAUGCCGGUGGAUACUGCCGGGCUAGAAUCCGGAAGAGGCGAGUGGAAUUCCUGGUGUAGCGGUGGAAUGCGCAGAUAUCAGGAGGAACACCAAUAGCGAAGGCAGCUCGCUGGGACGGUAUUGACGCUAAGGCGCGAAAGCGUGGGGAGCAAACAGG
rnacentral:rRNA from 1 species